UAUUUUUAGAGUCAUCUUUGAUCAUAUUUAUGAAGGGGGCUAAUAAUUCUGGCCACAACUGUAUGUAUUUCUCCAUUUCUUUGUCCAUAGGGUAAUGAGGAGGGCGUGGUUUACCUUGCAUAGCAAUUGAGCUCAGAGUAGGCGAGAGCGAAGCGUUUAGGCCACAGUGACACCUUGAAUGGGCUUGCAUUUGAUUGAGAUUCGGACACCAUCAGAACACGGAAAGGAACCAGCGCACAUAUAGGCUACAGUGAAGUCGACGCAAGCAUUUUGAUCAAUGCAUUUGAAACGAGACCACAAAUUCACUUCACAUUGAUAUUUCCUACUUUUACAUGCACAACAUGUGACAAACGCUUAAAAUACAACGCAUAUUUCAAAGAUCCAAAAUAGAACAAGGAGUUGUUUACAGUAGAAAAUUGUUGUGUCACUUCCCGUGUGGACAGUCAAGGCAUCACUGAUAAUAAUGGGUUCUCUUGGUGUGGUCUUAUUAUUAAUCACACAUCUUAGGCUAAUUUAUCAACUGGAAAUAUUCAGAAUUAGAUAAAUCAAAAUGUGUCCAUGGAAACGGAGCUAGAGAACCAAACUAAACAAGCUCGGAUCAAACAUUUCUGUUCAUGUUUGUUCUGCUUUAAUUUUAAUGUUUAGCAUUUUGGUUACUUUUAAAACCUAUUAAAACUAAGCAAUCAUGUCUCAUUUCCACAGCUUGGGAAUACACAGCCCUGAAUAUAUAUAUAUAUAUAUAUAUAUAUAUAUAUAUAUAUAUAUAUAUAUAUAUAUAUAUAUAUAUAUAUAUAUAUGUGUGUGUGUGUAAAGGGGUAUAUGACAUAUAGUGGCUACAGCAUGGUAUUACAGAUGAUUUUUUUUAGUCCUUGGAUAAAGAAAGUGUUUUCGUAGCUGGAAGGCAGAGUUUGCACUUUACAACCAUGUUAUUUGCAUUUUCUUCUUUGAAAACAAAAUGGCAGCGAAAUUUCCAUGAAUUGAAAGUGUUUUCCCUGCGGGAAGCAUCGUUUCAACUAGCAGCAGUGAUUCAAUAUGUGUCUGAGGAUAUUGUACACGGGUGUUAUUUGCGCAUGUACCAGCGGGUGGCUUGCGUGAGUCAUCACUGGCAACUGAACCAGGAAAUACUGUAAAAUCAAGCAGUGCUUAAUAUAGUGUUAUUAUGGCUCUAUAUAGUGUUAUUUAGUUUUAGAUGAAACCAUUGUAAUCCUGAUAGUAUUCCCCCUUUUUUCAAAAUGUAACUGUAAUAUGAUUACUACGUUUUUUGAUGUAACUGUAACAAAUUAGUUACUGAAUCUUUGUAUACUGAUUACGUAACGCUGUUAGAUGUAUUUACUCCCCAGCCCUGCUGUAGCCUAUAUGUGGUUCCUUAUACGCUGGUUCCUUUCCGUGUUCUGAUGGUGUCCGAAUCUCAGUCAAACACAAGCCCAUUCAUUCAAAUGAUUAAUAAUGGAAAAUAACAAGCGCUUCCAUUUCAGAGUCCCUAUUAUUAGAUCUGUUGAAGAUGUUGCUGUUCAUGUUGGCCAGCCCAGGAUAUUGUACAAAUCCAGAGCAGACGAUGUUCUAUGGCCAUGUCCGUAAUAAAGAGUAGCCUAUCCAUGUCACACAGUACAGUUAGGGUGAUAUUAUAUGACUUAACCCGUGAUAUAAAAUUUUGGCCAUAUUGCCCAUCAAGUCAUUCAUCCCAACAGGCUCAUCAGUAGGCUACACUUCUUGUAUUUCGGCCACCCCACAAGGUGUCACUGUGGCCUCAACGAUUCAUUCUCCCCUACUCUGAGCUCAACCUGAACCUAUCCUCUUAAUAGUGCUGCUGGCUAGUGUGGUGUCUAAUUAUGGAAAUAACUCCUCAGCAAUAGCUACAGCAAAACACAAAAAAAGACUGAAAAUCCCUGGAAUUUGGGCUGCUGUCAUUGACAAGAUCAUAAAUAAAAUAGUCGAUCAUGAGGUUUCUAAUAAACAUUGUGCUGCGUGUAAUUGUUUAGUCUUCACUGAUUUAGCAUUUUCUGCACUCUUAUCCGCUGUCACAGAGCAGUGACAUGACAAAGUAAGUUGAUUCUGUUUGGUUCCUCGUGUGUGCAUUCAAAGUGCUGAUUGUCUCACAGAUAGAACCUUAUUUAGCCAAGUUAGAGUUUAACUUUGUAGAUAGAAACUUUUUGUUUUCUUAAAAAAAAAAAGGCCCAAAAUGUACACAACUUAAAAAAAGAAAGAUCACAUAAUGUAAAUAAGUUGUCAGAGAAUAAGAAUAUGUGAAUAACUCAAUUUUGACAAAAAUGUCAGAUAGAACCUUAUAAUUCCAAGGGGACGAUUUGUCAUUUUCCUUAAAUGUGACUGUCUGCCAUAUUGAAACAAAUAAUAAUAAAUAAAUAAAAACAGUGCUUUUGCUACUCCUCCUAUAAAUUUUGCCCUAUUUUGUCCAAAAUCUGCUCAGAUGAUCUUUGGACCUAGCCGCACAUAAAUGACUGAACGGGUUUUUGAUAAUCGCUAUUGUUCCUGUGAAAUAUCUCUCCAAAGUUGACCCUGCCUGUGUUUGUGCUAGUUAGCUUGGCAUGCUAAAUGGUUAACUUUUAUUAUCCGGUAAGCAUUGUAGUAAUCUUUAUUCCUUUUGGCUUAGUGUUUUUGUUCUUUCUCAUCUGAACUUCUGUUCAUUUUGAGUUCAUUCUCAGCUAUAUUUCUGAAGCAGCUGUUUUUCAUGUACAUUCAAUUUCUGCUGUUUCUGUUCUUCCGGCUCCGCAUUGCGUUACAGCCCCUUCAAGGGCUUGGCCCCGUAUCGCUGUUUGCAGCUAUAUUGAAACAUUAAGUCUUUAUGAGUGAGUCACUGAAUCAUUCAUUCAAACCGAAUUUAAUAACAAUAAUAAUAAUAAUAAUAAAUUCUGAUUGAUUUACUUUUUUUUAUUUUUUAAAUAGACUGCAGCAAUUACCAAUUUGUCAGAACAUGUAGAUGUCUAUUCAGAAUUGUGGGAGAAUCAUGAUCUCUUUUAAGCAAAAAUAAUUGCGACUUGUCAAUUUAUCCAGUAUCAUUGGAGUUGAGAUUCCCCUCUUCGCCGCCAGUGAGCAAGGAGGAGCGGAGCCCUAUUUUAGAUUUGCGUACACUGAAUAAACAUCUCAGAAAGUACAAUUUCUGUUUUGUCUUUGGUUUGUGUAAGAUGGCGGUAGUCGGACAAGCAGAGCAAUCACUGAAUAAGCAAUCCAGCGUUUGUUCCUAAAAUCAGUGAUACGGCAGGGACUGUCCAAUCUUUGGAACCAUUGCCAUUUUUUGCAUACUUAUGUGCAGAAGAUGAAACCACUACUAAUCAGCUCUUCAUCUCUUGAGCUAACGAUUAUAAAUAGAGACCUAUAUCUCAUCAGCAGCUCUCUCUCACUUGGGGGUAAAUGAGAUUGUAAAGUGUUACUUCCUGGGCACUUUUCAGGGGUAUUUUCUAUUCAGGACAUUUGCACUACAGCAAGCUGGGCUUAAGCAGACAAACAGAUAUUAUAGACUAGAUGUGACUGGCUCAUUACAUAGGUUUAUUGAAACAUUUUUAGUAUUUAGUAAAAUACCUUUGUGCUUGUGUACACUAUAGUGUGUAUUAAGUGAAAAAAUGGAUUUUACAGUAGUAUUAGAACCAUGAUCAUUUCCAGGUUUCUUGUGUAACCCUGGUUCUCACCUCACUGCCCUUCUUGCAGACUACAAGAUAUGAAGAUAUGAUGAGAAUUAUGCAAUAGUGGGCUGCAGUGAGUUAUAUAAUAGGGAGGUGGGGCACCCUGAUCACUGUAGCGAUUGGUCUGUCAGUCUGAUGGUGUAAUUGGAGCUUCUACAGUCGGUCGCGCCUGAUUUGUUCCCAUAGUAGAUACCUCACUUCUGUUAUCGGAGAACCAGGGUUACGGAAGUAACCUACUAAUGUAUAAGUUUGUGUUAUUUUUUUGUACUAUUGUAAUUCUGUUUAUUUUAUAGAAAAUAUUUUCUAUAUCUAUAAUGCAUGGCAUUAUUAAGGCCAUACAAAAAAGUAAUUUGCUGCAGUAGUUCAAGUAGGUCUCUUGGUCAGUGGGCUCUAGCUCCCACCUCCGGCUUGGAGACCUACAGUACUGCACGUGUUGUAUGUCUCCCUUAGUUACACACUUGAUUUACAUUGUCAGCUUUUUUGCAGAGAGCUGCAUGAACUAAAUUGGUCUGUCAGAUAUGGGAGACGUACAAAAUGUACAGUGCCCAGCCAGGACUGGAGUUGAGAACCACGGCUCUAGCUAUAUUUGGUUAUUUGCAUCUAAUGAAACAUAUUUAAUUUCACUUAAAAAUCAAAAUAAAUAAAAAAUAUAUUUUGCUUAAAAGUAAGUAAAAGUAGUAAAAUAUAUUUUAUGAUUAUUUUCUAAGCAGACCCUGCCCCUAGUUAUCAUGAGUAAAAAAAAACUUACUUGACAAGCCAGCUAACUUGCUAACUCACUUUUGAUCAUGCAUUUCUUAAUUAUAGGAGGAUACCAUUUCCAUUAAUCAUAACUGGCUGAAUGGCUGUAAUUUGGACACCAUGUGGCAGUUCCUGCAAGAUGAACUUUCUUCUGUCCAGAGAGAAAUUGAGGAAUGGCGUGAUACUAUGGACACCUGGCAUCAGCAUUGUCAGGUGAUCAUGAAAUCAUGUACAGGAAUUGAUUAUGGGGAGUUUGCCUCUUUCCUUAAGACCAUUGCAAAUAUUCGAAUAUCCUUUUUGAAUUCCUGUCCCAGAAAUGCAGAUAAUUGCCAAGACCUCCUUGCAGAAAGUCUGUGUGCAUUAGGCCCUCAUCAUGCAGCCUUUGACCUCCAGAGAGUAUUGCAUGUAUUUGAAAACAUGCUUAGCAAUGAAGACUUUAAGAGACUGGACCCUUCAGCUCUGAGCUUCAAACCUGAGGAACUACUUCAGGAGAUCAGAGAGGCUGUUCGUACAAUUGUAUAAGAACUAUACUGUAUAGGGAAGAUCUACUAUGGCAAAUCUGUUAAUGAAUUCUUUUAACAACAUAUAUGUUAUUUCAUUGUUGUUUAUGCUGUCAUAAUAAAAGUAGUCCAUCAUGACAAA